UGAACCUCGGAUCAGGUAGGAAUACCCGCUGAACUUAAGCAUAUCAA
rnacentral:rRNA from 1 species